rnacentral:rRNA from 1 species
GACAGAGGGUGCGAGCGUUAAUCGGAAUUACUGGGCGUAAAGCGCACGUAGGUGGUUGAGUAAGUUGGAUGUGAAAGCCCUGGGCUUAACCUAGGAAUUGCAUCCAAAACUGCUUGUCUAGAGUAGAAUAGAGGGAAGUGGAAUUUCCGGUGUAGCGGUGAAAUGCGUAGAUAUCGGAAGGAACACCAGUGGCGAAGGCGACUUCCUGGAUUCAUACUGACGCUGAGGUGCGAAAGCAUGGGGAGCAAACAGG